rnacentral:rRNA from 1 species
UACAGAGGUCUCAAGCGUUGUUCGGAUUCAUUGGGCGUAAAGGGUGCGUAGGUGGCGGGGUAAGUCAGGUGUGAAAUCUCGGAGCUCAACUCCGAAACUGCACUUGAUACUGCCUUGCUCGAGUACUGGAGAGGAGAUUGGAAUUUACGGUGUAGCAGUGAAAUGCGUAGAUAUCGUAAGGAAGACCAGUGGCGAAGGCGAGUCUCUGGACAGUUACUGACACUGAGGCACGAAAGCUAGGGGAGCAAACGGG